rnacentral:rRNA from 1 species
UACGGGGGGGGCAAGCGUUGUUCGGAAUUACUGGGCGUAAAGGGCUCGUAGGCGGCCCUCUCAGUCGGAUGUGAAAUCCCCAGGCUUAACCUGGGAACGGCAUCCGAUACUGGAGGGCUUGAAUUCGGGAGAGGGAUGCAGAAUUCCAGGUGUAGCGGUGAAAUGCGCAGAUAUCAGGAGGAACACCGAUGGCGAAGGCAGGUCUCUGGGCCACUACUGACGCUGAGAAGCGAAAGCAUGGGGAGCGAACAGG